GACAGAGGGUGCAAACGUUGUUCGGAAUUACUGGGCGUAAAGCGUGUGUAGGCGGCCACGUAAGUCGGAUGUGAAAGCCCCAGGCUCAACCUGGGAAGUGCACUCGAUACUGCGUGGCUUGAGUAUCGGAGAGGUUGGUGGAAUUCUCGGUGUAGAGGUGAAAUUCGUAGAUAUCGAGAGGAACACCGGUGGCGAAGGCGGGUCUCUGGGCAGUAACUGACGCUGAGGAGCGAAAGCGUGGGGAGCGAACAGG
rnacentral:rRNA from 1 species